rnacentral:rRNA from 1 species
CCUACGGGAGGCUGCAGUAGGGAAUAUUGCUCAAUGGGGGAAACCCUGAAGCAGCAACGCCGCGUGGAGGAUGAAGGUUUUAGGAUUGUAAACUCCUUUUGUUAGAGAAGAAUAUGACGGUAUCUAACGAAUAAGCACCGGCCAACUCCGUGCCAGCAGCCGCGGUAAUACGGAGGGUGCAAGCGUGAACCGGAAUCACUGGGCGUAAAGGGUGCGUAGGGGGGGUAAUAGGUCAGAUGUGAAAUCCUGUAGCUUAACUGCAGAACUGCAUUUGAAACUGUUACUCUGGAGUGUGGGAGAGGUAGGUGGAAUGCUUGGUGUAGAGGUGAAAUCCAUAGAGAUCAAGAGGAAUACUCAUUGCGAAGGCGACCUGCUGGAACAUUACUGACGCUGAUGCACGAAAGCGUGGGUAGCAAACAGGAUUAGAUACCCGGGUAGUC